AAAAGUGGGCUUAUGUGACUUGCCCCUCGCCACAGCAUGGACAGAGAUACAGGAAGCCUGAAUCUUGAUAGAUAUCGGCAUCCACCUGACUCUCACAAACAUAUUCUAAACAGCUAGGGGCUGAACAGAGGAAACACGCCCAAACUGGCUUUCCCAUGGAAAUGAAUACAGCACCAGGAGAUCGCCAGGUUGAAAGCCUGGAUACUGGAUAAAGAGAGGAGAAUUAACAUGGACCAGGGUUCAUUACUGCUUCUGCUACAUGACUUUUUUGAAUGCACACUUGCAAUGAGUAGUCUCAGCAUCAGCAUUAUGCAGAUUCCCUACAGUGUACAAGGAGACCAAUGGCAGGGGUCAACCCAGGAGAGCUGUCGCAGUUUCACAGGUCAUCUUUAAUUCCUAUGAAAGACAAGAUGAGUAACACUGCUUUGGUAGGUUGCCCAAGCGUAUAUCUGGAAAUCUUGGAAAGUAAGUUAUAUUGCAUUUAAAAAGCAAAUGAAUCAAGAACACUGUAGGAGGUGGAAAAAAAAAUGAUUGGCUCCAGAAUAUAUUGUGUACAGAGACAUAUCAGCCUUCUGCUUUGUUAAUUAGCUCACAUUGACAGUGAUUUUAAUGGAUCUGUCUCUUUUAGUAUGAAGAUGG
rnacentral:lncRNA from 1 species